rnacentral:rRNA from 1 species
GGGCUGCUCCUAGUACGAGAGGACCGGAGUGGACGCAUCACUGGUGUUCGGGUUGUCAUGCCAAUGGCACUGCCCGGUAGCUAAAUGCGGAAGAGAUAAGUGCUGAAAGCAUCUAAGCACGAAACUUGCCCCGAGAUGAGUUCUCCCUGACCCUUUAAGGGUCCUGAAGGAACGUUGAAGACGACGACGUUGAUAGGCCGGGUGUGUAAGCGCAGCGAUGCGUUGAGCUAACCGGUACUAAUGAACCGUGAGGCUUAACCUU